UGUAACUUCCUAGAGACUAUCAUCUGUCCAGUGUAUCCACUCCAACCACAAUGGGGUCCCUAGGAUUUGGGUAGGUCUGCAUUGUGGUUGCUGUAACAGUUUCUCAUGGAUGAGCCACUGAUGACUUUACCGAGAGCCAAAAUGGAGAGUUCUGCAGAAAACAUGUGCGGUGAGAAAG